rnacentral:rRNA from 1 species
ACAGCAGUAGCCACGGUAAAACGGAGGGUGCAAGCGUUACUCGGAAUCACUGGGCGUAAAGGACGCGUAGGCGGAUUAUCAAGUCUCUUGUGAAAUCUAACGGCUUAACCGUUAAACUGCUUGGGAAACUGAUAAUCUAGAGUAAGGGAGAGGCAGAUGGAAUUCUUGGUGUAGGGGUAAAAUCCGUAGAUAUCAAGAGGAAUACCUAUUGCGAAGGCGAUCUGCUGGAACUUAACUGACGCUAAUGCGUGAAAGCGUGGGGAGCAAACAGGAUUAGAUACCCCCGUAGUCCCUGUCUCUUAUAC